CGGACGGGUGAGUAACGCGUGGGUAACCUGCCUUGUACUGGGGGACAACAGUUAGAAAUGACUGCUAAUACCGCAUAAGCGCACAGUAUCGCAUGAUACAGUGUGAAAAACUCCGGUGGUACAAGAUGGACCCGCGUCUGAUUAGCUAGUUGGUAAGGUAACGGCUUACCAAGGCGACGAUCAGUAGCCGACCUGAGAGGGUGACCGGCCGCAUUGGGACUGAGACACGGCCCAA
rnacentral:rRNA from 1 species